GAUGAACGCUGACAGAAUGCUUAACACAUGCAAGUCUUUGGCGAAUCUGUGCUUGCACAGCCUAGCCAAGGCGGACGGGUGAGUAACGCGUAAGGAACUUGCCCUGCAGUCAGGGAUAACAGACGGAAACGACUGAUAAGACCUGGUAAAGUCAGGCGGACUCAUGUCCAGCCUGAUGAAAAGAGAUGCUGCAGGAGAGCCUUGCGUCCUAUUAGCUUGUUGGUGGGGUAACGGCCCACCAAGGCGAUGAUAGGUAGCCGGCCUGAGAGGGUGGACGGCCACAAGGGGACUGAGAUACGGCCCUUACUCCUACGGGGGGCAGCAGUGGGGAAUAUUGGACAAUGGGGGCAACCCUGAUCCAGCAAUUCUGUGUGCACGAUGAAGGUUUUCGGAUUGUAAAGUGCUUUCAGCAGGGAAGAAAAAAAUGACGGUACCUGCAGAAGAAGCGACGGCUAAAUACGUG
rnacentral:rRNA from 1 species